GCUUUAGCUCAGUUGGUAGAGCAUGAGAUUCUUUAAUCUCAAGGUCGUGGGUUCGAGCCCCAAGUUGGGCA